rnacentral:misc_RNA from 1 species
AAGUCGUAACAAGGUCUCCGUAGGGUGAGUGCUUUCCACGGCUGAACCACACAUUGAACGAUUGCUAACGAUAUGUCUAGUGAACCUGCGGAGGGAUCAUUACUGAGUGAGGGCCCCUGGCCCGACCUCCAACCCUUUUGUGAUUGAGACCGUGUUGCCUCGGGGGCGACCCGGACGUUUCGGCGUCGGGCCCCCGGUGGACCCCCUUCAAACACUGCAUCUUUGCGUCGGUUUAUUUGAUGAAUUUAAUCAAAACUUUCAACAACGGAUCUCUUGGUUCUG